AGUGAACGCUGGCGGUAGGCCUAACACAUGCAAGUCGAACGGCAGCACAGUAAGAUCUUGCUCUUACGGGUGGCGAGUGGCGGACGGGUGAGGAAUACAUCGGAAUCUACUUUUUCUUGGGGGAUAACGUAGGGAAACUUACGCUACUACCUCAUACGUCCUACGGCUUAAAUCAGUGGAUCUUCGGACCUUUCGCGUCUGAAUGAGCCGAUGUCGGAUUAGCUAGUUGGCUGGGUAAAGGCCCACCAAGGCAACGAUCCGUAGCUGGUCUGAGAGGAUGAUCAGCCACACUGGAACUGAGACACGGUCCAGACUCCUACGGGAGGCAGCAGUGGGGAAUAUUGGACAAUGGGCGAAAGCCUGAUCCAGCAAUACCGCGUGGGUGAAGAAGGCCUUCGGGUUGUAAAGCCCUUUUGUUGGGAAAGAAAAGCAGCAGAUUAAUCCACCGCUGUUCCGACGGUACCCAAAGAAUAAGCACCGGCUAACUUCGUG
rnacentral:rRNA from 1 species